GAUGAACGCUGGCGGCGUGCCUAACACAUGCAAGUCGAGCGGCAGCGAGGGGUGCUUGCACCCUGUCGGCGAGCGGCGGACGGCUGAGUAACGCGUGGGAACGUGCCCCAAAGUGAGGAAUAACUGCCCGAAAGGGUAGCUAAUACCGCAUAUUAUCUUCGGAUCAAAGGAUUUAUCCGCUUUGGGAGCGGCUCGCGUCGGAUAGGUAGUUGGUGAGGUAAUGGCUCACCAAGCCGACGAUCCGUAGCUGGUCUGAGAGGAUGACCAGCCAGACUGGAACUGAGACACGGUCCAGACUCCUACGGGAGGCAGCAGUGAGGAAUCUUCCACAAUGGGCGAAAGCCUGAUGGAGCAACGCCGCGUGCAGGACGAAGGCCUUCGGGUUGUAAACUGCUUUUAUAAGUGAGGAAUAUGACGGUAACUUAUGAAUAAGGAUCGGCUAACUACGUG
rnacentral:rRNA from 1 species